rnacentral:lncRNA from 1 species
GAAGCAGGAAAGAUCAGACAUUCCAUCCUCCGGGUGUUUGUCACAGUUCAGCAUCCAAGCUGAAUCUCUAGUUACCAUGGAUGGAGAUGACCUUUCCUGGCUAUGCUAGCCAGCUUUCUGACCUCAAAAAAAACACCAGCAUUUAAGGCCAAGAAUCUGAAUCUUUGAGUUUCCUUCCCCCACACCCAAUCCACCUGCUGAAGCCUAGUGACCAGCUGAACAGAACGGAGAGGUAGAAGAUUCAGGAGAUGGGUGUCACAGGUCCUGUCAGCUGGGUGGCCAGCUUAAGGCAACCACAUACAGUGAUCUGGAACAAGAUGGGAGACGUUCUCAUGCUUUAUCUGGAUGCUAGUAUCAAGACAGCCAAGGAGCUGUGUGUGGCCCGUUCUACCAGGAGCAGUGAUAGUGUGUUAGCCCACAGUGUGAUCUCUGUAGAUAACAGCACGAUGCCUCCAGAUAAAAAGGCUAGACAUGCCCGUGGACUGAGGAAAAACGCCUGCACCUUAAACAGAACCCUGAAAUGAACAGGCUGCUGCAAUUGUGCCUUUGUCGGGGUGCUGCUCCAUCUGAAAGGUUUGCUCCUGGGCAACAAGGACCACUUCCAUCUGAAACAGCCUUGGUACCUUCCGUUUAUCUGAGACUUGCUCGGCACUUUCCAUCUAUCUGAGACUCACUGCCCUUCCUGGGGUUUGCAACCAUUUCAAAAUGUUUAAGAAACAUGGAUAGAACAUGAUUGACAUCCCACAGCAAAGUGGCUCCCAAUGAAGAUAACGGAUCUAAGCUCACGAACUCAAGCUGAACCCUCCCAGAAGGAGAGAUGGAAAGGUUUGACACAGACAUUCAUGCACAAGGAGCUACUGAUGCCUCCGAGAACAGGGACUUGUGAUCCUUUUUACGGACUGACACUCGAAAGCAGGAAGUGUGGGUGACUGUCAGAAAAGAUGGCUGCCAGCACAUAUUUGAUUCCCCCGAAGGUUAUCCCUAUGAGCUCAGAUUCAUUUGUCCCAUGAUUGCCAACUGGAUGUCCUCAUGUCCAUGGGGUCUGAGCAGGCCAUGAGAGACAGACACAUAUUCAAAACUGAGAACUGCCACCAUCUAUCCGUCCACCACCACGGGAAAAGCUUGCCGUGUAUCUCAACUGAGGGAGACUUAGUUAAGAUGGCCGAGAUUGCUUCUCCCAGGCUAGAGACACCUGGGAGAGGAUCCUGUGCCUUUGCAGAACAUUUUCCGGUGAAGAACGUGGGUACCGGCAAGACAACAGGGAAGUUUGCUCUCAUGCAUCAAACAUGAUAACGGAGCUAUGGACGGCAAAGGCGGGAGCACUGAAGACACAGUUUAGGAGCGAAAUGACGAGCUUGAUGUGGUGACCUAAGAGUGAUGCUCCGAAUCCAGAGUCUGUCUUCAAAACCCUGGCUCAGGCCUGAGCAGCCUAAGAAGUCGGCUCUUCAGAGGACAGGAGAAGGCCACCUCAAUGUCGACCUGGGCUGGACCUUCAGUGACCAUGAGAAGAGGGUGCCGAGCUGAGCCUGGUACAAAGCUACCAGCCAAGAAGGACAGACUUCCUGAGGGCAGAAGAGAGGGACAGAGGGGCAGAGUUUCCAGUGUCUCAAAGCUUGGUCUGCUUUCACAUAAUAUUUUCCCCUCCAAUUAAACAUCCAUUUCUUUUCAAAGGAAACCUAAUUUAAACAAUGUGUUACUGUAAUUAAAUAAAGAACUCAGAGAUACAAACAGCAACAUUCUUGUCUGAAAUUAAAUCUUUCCUGGCUCCUAGGCCUGCCAGCUAGAAGUCCAGAACCAACAAUGCUGAGGACCACAAACCCAGGACAUUUCUUUCCUAGGCGUCCAUGGGUAGAAGGAUGCCUAUGUUCCUUCCUGGCCCUUACAUAACAGGAUGAAACCCCCUUCUUACAUUCAUAACAUCUGGACAUUUUCCAUCCUGGAGUCAGCAUUAACUAGCAGUGCUUUCAUUGGAAAGUCAAAUGGAGGAAUAUUUUCAGGCAUUAAUUUAGAGAUAUUGAGGGUCAGAAAAAUAUCAAGAACAGGCAGCUGAUUCUCAGGUGUCAAGCUCAAAAUCAGCAAGAAUCGGGUAGCAGAUGCAGAAGUCUGACUGGGAGCGAGAUCCCUCUCCCCUCUCCACCACGCACUAGGAGUGGAUACUAAAGCCAGAGGAAGGCUGACAACAUGAGGUGUUUCACAAAGGACAACAGGACGACAAGAGCUACCCUCAUCAUACAGAGAUCAAAAAGUAACCAGACGACAUGAGAGCCCUUCCCAACUCCAGCUAAGUGUCAGUGAGAAGGGACAAGUCGCAGCAGGGCUUUUCCCUGAGUUUGUGUGGAAGGAACAAGAACCGUUCUCUCUAUCAGGAACAACAGAUAACCAGAGCCAGAAAGAACACUUCUGUUAUCAGAAUGAUGCUCUACCACACACAUCUAUCUGAUCUUGACCACUAGAAUGAAGCUCACCCUCACUGUCAAGUGCCAGGUUUGAGAGCAGGGCAUCCGAACUGGCCUUUCAAUCCUAGGGCCCUCUUCCCUACUGUUUCCAAACCAACUAAGCCAAAACUGUAGUUCUGGUGAGGCUGUUGAGAAGACUCAGAGGUUAAAAGUACUUGCUGCUCUAUGGAGGACUCAGGUUCAGUUCCCAACACCCAUAUGAUCGCUCAUGAUCAUCUACAACUCCUGUUGCAGUGACUCUAGUGCCCUCUUCUGGCCUCUACAGGCUUCUGCAUGCCCGUGGUGCAUAUAAACUCAUACAGGAGAAUACACAUAUACAUAAAGUAAGUAUCAGAUGGACAUGUGGUAGAAGCCUUUAAUCCAAGCAAACCGAGAUAUAAAGGCAGGUGGGGUGGAUCUCUGUGAGUUUGAGGCCAGCCUACUCUAAACAAUGAAUUCCAGGCCAGUCACAGCUACAUAAUGAUUCUCCCUCCCUCCUUUCCCCUCCCUCCAUCCCUCCCUCUCUGUUUCUAUCUCUGUCUCUCUCUGUCUCUUUCUCUAUGCGUGUAUAUCUGUCUGUCUGUCUCCUUCCUCUCUCCCUCCCUUCCUUCUCCUCUCCUCUCCUCUCCUCUCUCCUUUCUCUCCUCUCUCUUUCUCUCUCUCUCUCUCUCUCUCUCUCUCUCUCUCACACACACACACACACAACACACACACCAAAUAAUAGAUUUAAGAAACUGAAAGUUUUCCUUAUUUAUCUUACCUGGAAAAAGCUAAACAGUUAAGAAGUACCAAAAAAAAAAAAAUGCAUUGAUAGCUAGACUUUAAAAAAAAAAAAAAAAAGGUGGGGGAAGGGGGAGCCUGCCGCGGCAUGACACUUCGUGGGUGCUAGAUGCUCGUUUAUGAAUAUGUGCACUGUUAAUCAACAGGCUCUUUGUGGUUGCAGUAACAGAAAUGUGAUUAGACAGGGAGCUCAGAAGGAAAGAUGGGCCUGGUAGAGUCCUGGGAAGGUACAUCCCAGAAAAGGCACAAGCAGCCAGCUUCCAGGGCAGAGGUAUCCCAGCCAUGCAGCUUCACGUUUUCCUUCUUCUGCAGAGGUUCAUACACCCACAAGCACCAUAGCCAAGGCUCACCACAACCUGGAGAGACUGGGGAAGGCCUGCUUGUACAGGCUUGCUUGUGCAAGUGUGUAUGAGCUGCCCAUCCAGGACCACCAAGUGUGGCCAGAGGGUAGAUAGUACAGUAUGGUGGUGACCCUCUUGAUCACUGUGUUCUUGCUAUGUACAAAAGAGGGGUCAAGCAAUAGGUUGUUGUGUAUACGAUCCCAAAGGCAAAGGAUUAAUGAGAGAACCAGGAAAGGUUAAAAGUAGGCCACGAAAGGGCUAUGUGGCUAUAAAGAUAACCACCCUUUAUCUGCACUGUAACCUGAUACCCUGGUCAUCAUGGGUUAGUAAGAAAAUGUCCAUGGCUCUUGUGUCUCUUGCCUCUAUAAAGCUGUUGCAUAUGCUACCUAGGAAACAGCAAGACUCUAGACUCCAAACUAUAUCUCCGGUCACUAGAUAGUGGUAUGCUAAACCAGGGGAAACCUUUGCUCUGCUUUCCUCAGAUGUCUGGAUACACAGGGAUUACUUCUGCACCCAUGAAGCCCACCUGCCAGCUCUCACGCUCCUCAGAGUGAAGUCACAUUGAGGGAAAGAGAUGGUUAGUGAGGGAGAGAAGAGAUGCAGGGAUACUGGUCAGGAGGCAAGUUAACCUACACAGGUGGAAAGAUGAAUAAAUUAAAAGGCACCACAGAGAUAAGAGACAAAGAAAUGAGAAACAACCUUUUCGAUCUUUGGUACGGUGAAAUCUGCUAACUGCCCAGCUUCCACUCGCACAGGCUGGUAUUUCAUGAUCACCCCUGAGUUAUGGAUAUAAAAACACUGGUAAGAGGAGAAAUAUUUUUGAGCCUUUUACAUAAAACCUCCACGACUUUAGCACCAUGCGAUGAAGUAGAAGUGUGGGUCCCACGGUGAUUAACCAGAUUUUAUAGGCAAUGUUUCAAACAAGCACCAGGCUGUGUGUCUUCAGCUAUUGUUGGGAUGAUUUCAUUAGGUUCUCUGAUAAAUAAUGCAGGCUCUAAUGAUGCAUUUCCUCUUUAAAAAAAAAAAACCCACAAUGGAAACUCCAUUUCAUAAAGCAAAGAAGAACUAUGGCAUCUGUUUAAUUUUUAUUACUUUUAAAUUAAUCCGUAAGGUCUUAAGAAGUGGAUACCGACUUGAAAGGGGAGAAUAAAAGGGAGGGGAAAGGUUUACCUGUUUAAAAGGUGAACUCAUGCCCCGGUGAGUGGAAAAUGGAUCUAGGUCAAUAGCCAGCAUGGAAGCCCCACCUUCCUCCAUCGAGCUCUUUCCAGAUCACAAAAGGAAAGCGGUCCUGCCAAAUUAAAACUCUCCAUAACAAUAAACCCUGAUUUAAUGCAGUCAUUAUUUUUCCAUUAAA